AGAGGAGCAGUGCUGAGCUGUGCGUUCCACUAAUGGCAUCGGGUGCAAAGACUCUAUUAAAUAGCCUGAUGUCAUCUACUAAGCAGGACAGAAGCCUGACUUUUCUGUACCAUCUCCAGCAGAAGAAUUAGAACUGCACUCAUGGGACCAAAUUUCACGCAUAUGAAGAUAAACAGUGUCACUUCUGAAAGCAUGACCUAGCUAAAAGAAGAGCCACCUGCAACCAGAGGUCUCAUUUAGUGUCUUCCAUGGAGGAAAUGGCGAUAGUGAUCCUGGGAAAUGCAUCGGCUUUCAGAGUGCACAGCCCUUAGCAUUUAAUACUUGAAUGAGUGUUCUUAAAUGGUUAUCAUUUAAUCUGAUCAGAAUUAUUCCUGGUCACCAAUGGCAACCAAUCUGUAAGAUG